UACGUAGGGACCAAGCGUUGUUCGGAUUUACUGGGCGUAAAGGGCGCGUAGGCGGCAAUUCAAGUCAGUUGUGAAAUCUUCGAGCUUAACUCGGAACGGUCAACUGAUACUGUUUUGCUAGAGUACAGAAAGGGCAAUCGGAAUUCUUGGUGUAGCGGUGAAAUGCGUAGAUAUCAAGAGGAACACCUGAGGCGAAGGCGGGUUGCUAGGCUGAUACUGACGCUGAGGCGCGAAAGCUAGGGUAGCAAACGGG
rnacentral:rRNA from 1 species